rnacentral:rRNA from 1 species
UACGUAGGGGGCUAGCGUUGUCCGGAAUCAUUGGGCGUAAAGCGCGCGUAGGCGGCCCAGUAAGUCCGUUGUAAAAGUCAAAGGCUCAACCUUUGAAAGCCGAUGGAUACUGUCGGACUAGAGUCCGGAAGAGGCGAGUGGAAUUCCCGGUGUAGCGGUGAAAUGCGCAGAUAUCGGGAGGAACACCAAUGGCGAAGGCAGCUCGCUGGGACGGUACUGACGCUGAGGCGCGAAAGCGUGGGGAGCAA